CCUACGGGGUGCUGCAGUAGGGAAUUUUCGUCAAUGGGCGCAAGCCUGAACGAGCAAUGCCGCGUGAACGAGUAAGGUCUUCGGAUCGUAAAGUUCUGUUGAAGGGGAAAAAGAGCGGAGAGAGGAAAUGGUCUCCGAUUGAUAUUACCCUUCGAGGAAGUCACGGCUAACUACGUGCCAGCAGCCGCGGUAAUACGUAGGUGGCGAGCGUUAUCCGGAAUGAUUGGGCGUAAAGGGUGCGUAGGCGGCCUGCUAAGUCUGGAGUGAAAGGUACCGGCUCAACCGGUACAGGCUCUGGAAAAUGGCGGGCUAGAGAGCAGGAGAGGGCGGUGGAACUCCAUGUGUAGCGGUAAAAUGCGUAGAUAUAUGGAAGAACACCAGUGGCGAAGGCGGCCGCCUGGCCUGUUACUGACGCUGAGGCACGAAAGCGUGGGGAGCAAAUAGGAUUAGAUACCCCAGUAGUC
rnacentral:rRNA from 1 species